rnacentral:rRNA from 1 species
UACGGGGGGGGCAAGCGUUGUUCGGAAUUACUGGGCGUAAAGGGCUCGUAGGCGGCCAACUAAGUCAGACGUGAAAUCCCUCGGCUUAACCGGGGAACUGCGUCUGAUACUGGAUGGCUUGAGAUUGGGAGAGGGAUGCGGAAUUCCAGGUGUAGCGGUGAAAUGCGUAGAUAUCGGGAGGAACACCAGUAGCGAAGGCGGCACUCUGGGCCGUGACUGACGCUGAGGAGCGAAAGCGUGGGUAGCAAACAGG